GUGAGGAAAGACAGGGUGGAAUAUUCAGCUAUGUCAGAAUACAUGCAAGUUAAUUCACAUUCUGCUACCCAUCAGAGGCCACCAACAGCCUUAUAAUUGGAUUCUCUUUUUGUUUUUAAAGGGUCCCAGGAGAUCUUCAAGGGCAAAAAUCAGGAUGCCCUCUAGCUGCAACAAAGGCAGAUAAAAACCUUCCAAGUGAUUACGAUACAAAAACAGUCAAAAUAUUGGUUACUGAGGAUGGAGGUGAGAGCUAUGUGAAGACUCAAAUUCGUAUUUGAGGCAAGGAGAAUUUUAAUCCAGCACUGUAAACUAUUCCAGGCAUCACAAGAGGAAAGGUAGUUGAGACACCUGUAAAGGUAAGAGUCAAUUUCUUGUUCUGUCAUUAUGCUCCAAUGCCAGAUACUAGAUUAUAUUCUCCAGCCUGUAGUUUCUUAUCCGCUUUUGAAAAUGACUACAAGGAUGAAACCCUUGAGAAAGAGGCUGCAAUGCUGCAUAAUAGUAAUGGCACCUAUAGCGCUUCCACUCUAUCAACAACAAAAAGAAAGGCUCAACCUUCACAGAAUUAUCACUGGGCCAAAACAGAACAUCAUUUCAGUGUCUGUGGAGAUGGAUGCAUUCCUGUUGCACAGGAAUACAAAUUCAGAUAGGAAAUCUCCUGGUUCUCUAGAUAGGAAAGUGAAAAACUGCAUGGCUGUUUCCUGACAAUGAGGGCCACCAGAAUCAACACACCCAUGAUGGUUUACAAGUGUACUGUGUACUGAUGUUUGGAAAUGGGUAUGGUGUGGCUUGAAUGUGUCAAAUCCAUCUUCCAGCUCGUUCCCUGUGGCACGGUGCCCCCAAAUCCCUUGGCAUGGCGGAAGCCCAUCCCUAGAGAGGAAACCUGGUGCUCCCUGCCCUGACCCACAUGGCACUCACCAGGAGCACAUGGCGAGGGGGGUUUGGUAAGUGCAAGAGCUGCUGUGCUUCCAGGGGAAGGCGGUUUGGCAGCAUUCAGCUCAUUGUGCAGGUCGGGGUGCUCUGGGGAAGACGCUGAACUGCGCUGACGCGGAGAGCGGCCACUCCAUUCUUCCAAACCGCUGGCUGCGGCAGCCGUGGCAGAGCUACAAGUAGCACUGGCUUUUCGGGGCUGUGGGGAGAAGAAAAUGGGGAUGCUGCUCAGGGCUACAGGGAGGCUUCUUCACCUUCCCUGAAUCAGUCUGGCAUGUGAGCCAGUUCCUAGUGGGCAGAAGAGACCCUCAGCCUCUACUGAUCCCUAAGAUAUUUCCCUCAUUCCCCUUGUGUCUGAGGGAUCCAGCCAAACCUGUCUGGCCUGCUUUUCCUGAUCACGUAGCCACUGUAAAUAGGACUCCCUGGCAACCUGCUCUUCAAUGGCUUCGUUGGUUGCUUCCCAGUCUGUUGCCCGUUUCUUAUCUUCCAGCAUCUGCUGCUCAAUCCAUGACUCUUCUGACGUCUUGAUUGCAUUCUUCAUCAAGGACUGUUCUGCAUACUGUAAGAAGUAGGAGAGGUUCAACAUAUACAUGGAAGCCUCUCACACACUAGCCAAGCCCUCAGCCCACUAGCCAAGACUCAUUUUAAAAGGUUAGCUCCUGUCUUCCAAAUGAGGACAGAGAGAAAGAGACUGGCCCUAUCAGUCAUGAGUGCAACAUAAUGCUAAUGUAUAAGUUGAAGGAGAAGGAGCAAUGCUUGCACUCUGGCUAUCUAAGAAGAACACAUGUAUUCUCUUUCUCCUUUGCAGAGAGUGGAAGGGACAGGAUUCAUUUACUAUAAGUGUGCUGUGGCAUCACCUCUGCACAAAGGGAAGCUAGAGAAGCUAAGCCGGAUUGUCAUACCUGAAGUAGAGGGUGACACCAUAGGACUAGCAGAGAGUCAUUCCACUCUGGCCAGAUUCUCUCGUCCCCACCACAGGGUUUGGGAACCUCUUCUGUAUGGUUCCAAUCUAACCUAACCCUAUUAGCUCAGUAUUACCAACGGCGAAUUGUGGGGGGCUGCAGUUCAAAAACCACAUGAUGAGACACCGUGGCUCACCGCUGUUCUAACUAACAGGCAGGCUGGUUAAGUACUAGGCCAUUCCUCAAGACCAUGCUGGAAAGGAAGGGAUCUUUCUGAAGAAUUGUGAAAUGGAAAUGUUUUAUUUAAAAAAAUACUACUACCCACAAACAACUAUACUAGGGAAUGCAUAGUAGACUGCAUCUUUGUCCAUACCUUUCAGCAAAUCUAUUUUCUCCCUACCCCUCUUCUUCUAUCAAAAUUCUCCUUGCCAUCUCUCAUCUCUCCAAACAACCUUUUAUCCUGUCAGGAGAGCUAGCAGGAGCUGGGGGUGGGAGAGGAAAAUACUGAUACUUCCAGUCUCUUGCUCAGACUAAAAAAAAAAACAACUUGUCCCAUUCCCUACAUCUUGCCCAUAAAAGGCUCACCCCUGGUUUGAAGGAGGGCAAUCCCAGCCCCACACCAAUUGUAGCUUUGUUGGGGUUCACCACCGAGUUGUAAUGGAUGUUGCGGUGAUAGCUCACUCGGAUGGGUUCAUCCUCGUUCUGAUGAAUGCCGUGAAAAGUGUUAAUGGGCUCUGGAAAGGAGAGAAAAAACAGCUCAAAGAGAGGUGGGGCACAGAGAAGCCUGUUUAUCUAAGCACCCUUGACACAAUCAGAGACAGACAGAUAAGAGGAAACUGAAACUGGAGUUUGGGUGUACCUGUGCCAUACUGGUAAACCUCCACAGGUCGAUUGUACAUCUCCGCCAUAGCCUGCAUCUCAAUGUGGUUGCCAUGGCAGUUGUUUUUCCGCUUCCGGUUGAUGUAAGUGGUGAAAUCUUCGGUCACAUAAUUGGAGAAGUAAUCGGCAUUCUUCAUCUGUAACAUGGAAGGACAUUAAGAUCAGGUGGAGAAAGGCUCCAACAUGGAGCAACAAGAAGAGGAAAGAGCUGCUCAAACGAAAGUGGCUCCUCUGAAGCUAAGGCAAUGGGACAGGUCCCUCUGUGGCUACAUGAUCUCAAAGGGCUAGGACCAACCAAACUACUUUCAGAACAAUUCCCCAAGAGUUCUCUAGGCUGAAUUUUAAAAAAGAGAUAAUUUAAUAUGGAGAUUUGCUCUGGCUUCCUCUAAACCUUUUCUUGCAGUUUUGAGAGCUAAAAAGACUUGCACAGCUCUAAAUGGAUGAGAGACAGGAUAACUUCAGGGCAGGACAUGAGUGCUUUUUGCUUAAAAAGAACCUCUAGAUAAGUAACCCUACCUCUUCACUGACUGGUAAUGUUCACAGAACAUUAAAUCCCUGCAAACUCCAGUUUUGGAUGCCAGAUUUAGAGGCAGUAGUAGAAGCAUGAUCUUGAAGAGAACCUUCCCCUUGCACUCACCAGGUAAUCCAUACAAUGCUUCCGGACCACUUCAUGCAUGUCCUGGUCACCGUAUACUUGGUCAGCUGCAAAAAAAGUGGAAGAUCAUCGACGUCAUACAAUGAUUGCUUGUCCCAAAUUUCUCUCAUUUCUCAUACAUCUAGUCUGGACCUACAAGUGACCCAUUCUAGAAAAUCCUGCUUCAUUCCUUUUUUAUUUUGUGUUUUAGAUCGCAAACCAGUGGCCAAAGGAUAUUCUGUUUUUAUUAAUCACAUGUAAGUUAUAUGGAAGACUUCCUAGUAAGAGAGUAGGACUGAAAUGCUUCAAACAAAUAUAUUUAAUAGCUGGAGACACACAGGAAUCUGCAGCCAUAUCAGAGCUCAAUCCUAGAUAGGUUUCUUUAUUUUAAAAAGCCAUUCUUACCUAAACAACACUGGGAGGGAAAUUCCAUCCAAACUCUACUAUGAAACUCCAUGGAAUGCUAUACAAGCCAUGUUUCAGGUUCUUUUCUAGCACAGUCCAAAGAAAACCAAGUGGACACCAUUCUGAAGAUGGGACAGAAUUUGAUAGUGUAUCUAAUUGCAAGUACACAUCAUCCACAAUACUGGGUAUUGUAGUUAAACACAUCUGCAGCAUGCCAUGUCAGGAAAGUCUCUGGCUAAAUAGAUAAUGAAGCCUUUUCUAUCAGCCCUAAACCCAAAAUAGCAAGCAACUCUUGGCUUCCAUGUCUUAAAUACUUAACUUGGAUGUGGGUACACUGAUUCCACCUGGCAUCUGGAGGAUGAGAGUGAUCAUGUAUUUGAGAUUAGAAAUGACUCUUUUCCUAACAGGAUAAAUUGGUUAGCAUUAAGGGGCAAGAAUCAUAUCCUUAUAGCAUCCAUUUUUAUUCUGUAAGCCCUCUCCGUAAUACAUCUUCCCCCUGCCUGUAGCUCACUCAUUCUUGAAAUAUGAGGACCAGAUCUCUGGUCACACAAGUCCUCCAUUUCAAAAGAAAAAAAUCAAGUAUAGUUCAUCCAAGGAGAGAGUUUGCAGCUGGGAAGGCUGUGAAACUUUUAGAAAAAUCAAGACGUUUUUAGAGUUUCCCUUGCACUUUCAGUGUGUAUCUGGGGCUACCAUCUGCAAUACCCAUCCCCAUCGCUGCUUUCUGCUUACAGUUCACAGGUUGGUUCAUACAAACAUUUGUUGAGUAAUCUAACAUUUAAAAUAUAUAACACUAAUUUCAUUAUGUGUCAACUCAGCCACAACAAGGCACAAGCGAAACUGAUCAGAGCCUGCACUGAAACUGACAGAUGUGCUGAAAAGAAAGAUCUGACAGGCUUCUCACUAUCCAAGAACGCAUUUGCAGAUGUGCAACUUUGUCUAGUGGCAAGGGAGGCAAAAGCAGUUGUGGAAGAACCACAGAAUGACAGAGCAGAAGCAAACACUGUUGGGAAGCUGGCUUCCUGGAAGGCAUGCUGGCACAAGAGUGAGCCCAGUCUAUCAAUAAAGUCUGACAGAGAAAAA